rnacentral:rRNA from 1 species
UACGAAGGGGGCUAGCGUUGUUCGGAAUUACUGGGCGUAAAGCGCGCGCAGGCGGCUAUCCAAGUCAGUGGUGAAAGCCCGGAGCUCAACUCCGGAACUGCCAUUGAAACUGUUUAGCUUGAGGAUGAGAGAGGUGAGUGGAAUUCCCAGUGUAGAGGUGAAAUGCGUAGAUAUCGGGAGGAACACCUGUGGCGAAAGCGGCUCACUGGACCAUAACUGACGCUGAUGCACGAAAGCUGGGGGAGCAAACAGG